UGGGCACGUCUAGAUCUGUCUGUGAUCC
rnacentral:piRNA from 1 species